UCGAACGGGAAAGAAACAGCAUUCCCAAAAUGAGAGAAAGAGAGGAGGUUAUUCAUUCCUUGGGUAGGAUCUCCUUUGUCCAAACCAGGGGUAGAGUUAUUCUGGAUUUGCAUGGCAUAACAGAAACAGGGAUGUGGUCUCCACUGAUUGUCUUGGGAGUGAUAUCCUAGCCUCAGCAGGAAGAAUUAAGUUGUAAGAGCUUUAAUCCACUAUCCAUCUGUGAAUGAGCUCUGAUUUGCGAUGAAGGUGGAGAACGGCUGAAUGACGACUGGCAUGCCGACAACCAGUCAGAGAAUUGUCCAUCGCGGUGCUGGAUACUGUGUGUGAAGUGGUAGAAAACCCUGUCAUUUGAAACGCUGGAGUUUAAAAAUGCAGAUGUGACUCCCACAGCAUAUAGCGAUUUGACUCGUACACUUUUCAAUCGCGGGAUACUAUAGCAGGACUGAAAACAGCCUCCAGUCACCAGCACACAUUGAGCGCUCUCUGAGAUGCUUCAUACAGACGUUUUUCAGCGCGUGGCAGUAAGUAACGGCCUGCCUCCUUCCUGCCCCAUUACAGCAAGAAAUGGCUCAGCCGAGUUUUACUGACAAUACGUAUUUCUGUGUUGUUCUGAGCCUCGGGCCAGUGGAGGUAAAGGACAAUGUAAACGGCUUUUUAGUUACCUCUUAGAAGACUGAGAUAAAGCACUGAAAUAAUGAAGCUGUUCUCAUUUAUAGCUUUAUCUCUUAGAAAUUCAGGCUGACAUUGCAGGCGGCUCUAACGCAGAAAUACCAUCAAUGCUUAACAAAAUGGAUCAACUACUUACGCUUUUAUAACGCAAUAAUAUCAUUUCCUACUUUUGACCUUCAGCCUUGCCCGCCCACCUCUGCGCAAAACGCAUUUCCAGGGAGAAUUUAGAACAUGUUGUUUUUUAAAAUGAUUUUUUUUUUCUAAAAGAGGAGAAACAGGAAGGUCUUGGAGAGGCUGAUAGUGUUAAAGAGAAGGGCCAGGGACACACAUCGCAUUAUUUUGUCAUGCCGCACUUUAGCUGCUUGUAGCAUACAGCUUCAUCUUUCAGCCUCAGUAGUGGGAUUUCUGUGUUUAUGAUCCGAUCGGCGACUAUGUCCCAUUGACAUACUCCCCAGCAUUAGUCACUGGAAAGACCCUGGGAAGGUAGUCACAUUGAUGUUUAAAGGGUAAGUGAUUCAAAGGCUGAGUCAAAGCCAUGCUCCAAGUUUUAGUGUCUUCUGGAUAUUUUUCUGCUUUUGCUAAAUCAUUAUGCAAGAACAGAGAGGAACUUUAUUGGCAAAGCAACAUGAUCGGGGAAAUGCUUUCAGGCUGACUGACAGAGUGCAAAUGGCACACUGGAGAGGCUUCAGGUUUUGCUGUCAAAGGAAAAAAAAAAUCAAACUAAAUGAUCCCAAGCCCAACACCAUUUUAACACUGAAAAUUACACAACCAGGGACCAAGAUACAGUAACUCCUUUGAAGGAGAUCGUCUCCUUUGAAAGGCUCUGCUCCUAUCCUAUGAGGCUGGGCAAAGCUCUAAGGAAAGGCUGGACGAUUAGGGGAGGAGGACUGUGCACCUCAAAUAGAAAGCUCACUUGUACUAUUAGCAACAGAUGCUGAUUGAGUCUCCUUGCAAAACUGUCUCUCUCAUAACGUUGCUGGCUGCUCCUGCUUUUGGCGGUACAGAUUUCCUGGAAGACAUGUCUUGCUUAAGAUAUUUUGGGCACUGCCAAAUCUUGCCUGGAGAACAGAAUGGCAGAUAGGUGAGUCUGAAACCACCACUACUUAACACAAGAAGUCACAGCGAUGUGACACUAAGGAGGGACUGCAAGCUUUGCAGAAAAGAAAGUUGAACCUGCAAGUUGAACCAUUGACAUUUUUCCAGAAUUUGAUUUUUUUCCCUAUUACUGCUACAUUUUUUUCAGCCAAAUUUCAACAGAAAAAAACGGGCUGAAUUUUUCCUGAAAAUUCACAUCCUUUUCCAAUGUGACAGAUAGGAGUGAAUCUUAUUCUUCCCCCUAACUGUUACAACAUAGUUUAACUGUGAGCUGGCAUUAACUGUGGACAGGCAUAGUAUUGUGGUACAUCAAAGAUAACCUGUGAUCAGACAACAGGGUAAUAAUGCAGAUGCACUACUGUGAGAAUUCAAAUGGCAGACAAGGUUCCUUGGGUGAAUUUGAUAUCUUUUAUUAGACCAACCCAAAUAGUUGGAGAAUAGUUAUUAUUAGAAUUCAAAAGGUGCAUUCACCCUGAUUUCUUGUGUUUCUUGACUUCUGAAUGGUUUGCCAUGAAACUUUGCUACAUCUCUUCUCCCCUUUGCAAAAUGCUGAGCUUGGUCACAGGACGUGUUGAUGCUGGUUGAAUCAGCCUUUACACUAGUGGAAACAGGGAGAGGAGAGACAAGAGACAGGGAGAGGAGAGAUAAUACAGUAUGCUGGUGUAGCUUACUCAGAUCUGGUGUAGAAUUACCCUGGGUUAACCCAAGGCUAAAACAAUACAGUUAUAAGUUACGCUGGUAAAGAUGUUGUCUGUUAGAGCUGUCCUGGAAUAAGCUGAAUUCUUCAAACCUGCUUCCCUGCCAUCUAGUGAAAGAAAUGGAGAAAAGAACUGCCCUAGGAUUUUUACCUCUGCUAAAUGGUUUCAGUCAGUGUCCUUUGAAGGUAAGAUUGACCCGAAUGACUUUUUUUCAAGUGGGCAGAAGGCAAAGUAGAGAUGCACCUUACUUCUCUUUCUUUAAAUUGGUCAUCGUUGGGGUUUAAAACCUAGCCAGUGCCACUGCAGACGGCUGCUAGCUGAGCUAAAGAAUAAAGUCCAUCUCAUGGAAGUAAUACACAGGUAGCGGUCCUCUGUGAAUCGGUCAAGAAAGGGUGACAAGCGAUGUGUGAAACUUCCCUGCGUCAGUUUGAUGCCAAGCAUGUAUAAGUUGGUACCCAGAGCAAUAGGCUGAUCGCCCUCACCUUAGCCCACGCACUACACUGCAGAGCUUAUAUAACACUUUGAUUGCUGGAUUAAACACGGCACAAUUCAUAUUGGUGAGUUUUACGUUUCUAACUCCUGCAGCCGUGAGCACGUUCCUGUGACGUCAGCCGCAGCAUCGUGUGCGUUUCAGGAAGGUUGUUUGGCCUGCGGGUCAGAGCAGGAAGGUCGUAGCUAUGCACAUGUGCAUGAACAGUGCAAUGUAUGACGUUAAGGAAAUCUUCGUGCCUCUUAAAACCUUAAUGGAGAAAUCAACUAAAAACCCUCUGCUUGCUCUGAAAACAAAGACGACUUAGGGAUUGGCUAUUUUCUGGCACCAAUGCCAUCACUAAAAUUCCUUUGCAAUUUAUGCACAACUAAUGCAAGCAUUAGCACUCUGGAAGCGAGUUCUACUCCUGCUCUUCAGAAUAUAGAGUUAAAUGUUACAUAUAUCUAUGCUUUUACUGUAUGUGCUUUUACUGCAGGAUUUCUAUUGAUGACUGGUCUACUGAAAUACAAAGAAGAUAGAAGUAAAAAGCAAUGGAUCCCUGAAAUGAUUUUAGUAUAUAUGACUGCUAUAUUGCUGCAUUUCAGGCAUUUGCUAUGUGUGUACCACUGGAAUAGCGUGCAGCCAUGUACAAAUUUGUGACUAGUAUUUUAGCAGACUAAAGAGACAAGGACAGGUCCCUGGCUGAUAUAAACAGUGUAGUUUUAUGGAAGUCCAUGGAGCUUUACUUAUUCAUACUAGCUUCGGAUCUUGUCAACGCCCCCCACAAUAAUGCAUUAAAACACUGUUCAUUAAAAACACUGUUAAAAAAGAAAAGAAAAGGUGUUAAAAAGUUUUAUACUCCUUUUCACCUUUUAUGACAUUUUUAAGUGUUUGCCUUUCACCUGGAUCGGAGAAGGAGAGGAGUCUGGUUAGCUUCUCCUUCGAUUUGCAAUUUCACUUUCUGAUUCUUCUCCACGGUCACAAUGCUUUGGGGAUUGCAAUCACAGCCCUGUAGGGGAACAUUUAAAUGCUUCUAUGGCCUCUUUCCAUUUAAUUUAUGUUUUAAAAAUUCAUGAAAAAAUGUUGCAUUCCUUUAAGUCCUCAAGAGCAUCAGGGGAUAUAUUCACAGCUGAUGUAAAUCUAUUGAAGUUAGUAAUGGCUUUUCAAGAGGGAUGCUGAUUUGGUCCUAGAUGUCUAGUAGUGGUGCUAAAAUUACACCAGACACUUCAGAAUGGGCAUUGCUAAUGUUAUUGACUCUGUGAUUCCUCGAGUUAAUGAUGGUAAUAAGGUUUAUUUACUUCAAUGGGUACUAUACUAUUUUGCUGGCUUCUCGAGCAACAGAGCGAUGAUGAUUUUUAAUGGCAUUUGAUAUGCGCAAGGCAAUUAUAAAAACAUUUGAAAUGUCUCUCUCAAGGAAGGAAGGAAGAGAAGAGAAGAUGAAUAAUCUGCUUUAAAUGAAAAGGAAGCAAAUGAGAACAAACAACUUGAGUUGAUCAAAUAAUUCACAAGAAAUAACUUGCUUCAAGAAUUUAGUCCUUUUUUUUAUGUAUGUGCAAUUAAGCAGAUAUAAAACAAAAAGAUGGCCUCAAACCUUGAUGACAUCAAAUGAGAAAAGAUGGUGAGAUCCUGCUCCUGAGAUCUGAGAUCCUGUUCCUGCCUUUUUUUCAAGGCAAUUUGCAUCAUCCCAGAUCCUUGCAGGAGGCAAGAGGCUUCAGACCAGCUCUGAACUGCCUGCCCAGAGGAGGUUUCCAUCUAUCGACUCCUCUGUGAAUUCCUAUGAAAUAUGAACUUUCAUUUCUACCCAGGAGAACUUUUAAAAUCUUUUCUCCAAUGCCCGAUGAAGGAUGUUUGUACCCUAAAUCUUGCAAUUAAAGAAUUUUUUUUUGCAAAAAA